UGGGGAAUAUUGCGCAAUGGGGGAAACCCUGACGCAGCGACGCCGCGUGCGGGAUGAAGGCCUUCGGGUUGUAAACCGCUUUUGAUUGGGAGCAAGCCUUUUGGGUGAGUGUACCUUUCGAAUAAGCGCCGGCUAACUACGUGCCAGCAGCCGCGGUAAUACGUAUGGAGCAAGCGUUAUCCGGAUUCAUUGGGCGUAAAGCGCUCGUAGGCGGUCUGUUAGGUCGGCAAGUUAAAUCCGGGGGCUCAACCCCCGUCCGCUUCCGAUACCGGCAGACUUGAGUUUGGUAGGGGAAGGUGGAAUUCCUAGUGUAGCGGUGGAAUGCGCAGAUAUUAGGAAGAACACCGGUGGCGAAGGCGGCCUUCUGGGCCAUAACUGACGCUGAGGAGCGAAAGCUAGGGGAGCGAACAGG
rnacentral:rRNA from 1 species